rnacentral:lncRNA from 1 species
ACACAUUAUCACUUUACAAUUACAUCUAAAGACACAUCUUGCUUUUGACACACAUUCUUCAUGUGAUUUGACUCUUCUACCCUUUGUUUAACCAAACAAUAGGUUUAACUUUUAUUCCAACUAAAGAGAAAAAAUCAAUUGUGGAAUCUCACAUCGACGCAGCCGUAGCCAACCCUUCUUCUCCGACUAGAACCGCCGGAUUGGCUCUUCACUGCUGUGAACACGAACUCGCAUCGGUUCUUAUUGACCAGAUCUGGAGCCGUUGCCUCUCCAAUUCAAUCUAUCACGAGCUUCUUCUCUUGGUAACAUGUCUCCUCCGCCGUUUGUCUCCACCCUGAAAUCUCAUAUUAAUGUCGUCGUUCCCCGUUUAAAAUCAAUUGUGGCCAUUAAAAAGUCACAAACUUCACUGUCCGAAGUCAAUUGUCACUAAUGAAAGGUAAAGUUCUUGGUUUUAACGAGAUAGCUUUAUCUGAAUUGUAAAGUUCUUGGAUUGAUUGAAUUAAAUCCACAUAAAUCCUCAAAUACGAAGACUAUUGAUGCUGAAUUGCUUUUAAUUAGUUUUUUUUUUGUUGUUGAUGUAAUCAUGCGCUGAUCUAUUAAAUUGAACUUUUUAUCAGCAAGAUUAAGGCCAGAAACCCG